UACGGAGGGUGCAAGCGUUAUCCGGAUUCACUGGGUUUAAAGGGUGCGUAGGCGGACAGGUAAGUCAGUGGUGAAAUCUCCGAGCUUAACUCGGAAACUGCCAUUGAUACUAUCAGUCUUGAAUACCGUGGAGGUAAGCGGAAUAUGUCAUGUAGCGGUGAAAUGCUUAGAUAUGACAUAGAACACCAAUUGCGAAGGCAGCUUACUACCCGAAUAUUGACACUGAGGCACGAAAGCGUGGGGAUCAAACAGG
rnacentral:rRNA from 1 species